rnacentral:sRNA from 1 species
UGACAGGUAGUCUCUAUUUAUUGAUAGAGCUGAAAUAGCAUGGGCAACAGUCAUAAAGCUUCUCCCUCAUCACCUUGCCAAUGUGCUUCAAUCCUGGCCUGGAGGGACCAAAUUGCAUAGCCUUGUCUACUUUAGCAAAC